CUUUAUAAGUAUCAGAUGUGUGGGCCCGUAUUUGACUAAGUUUUUAUGAUUCUCGAUUGAGACGCCCUAAUCCUUUCGCUUCCCUUCAAUCCGAUGAAAAUUCUGGGUAACGGAUUCGUUUUUUAAGUCCACCAUUAAAAUGAGCAUUUAACACCAUCACACCUCUCCUCUCACUCCGCCUCAUUUAUUUAUUCUAAUUGGCGAUGAAGGUAAGCGAUGCAUGUCUGAGUUCGGUACGACUUCAGACUAUAAAUGUCUCCGUUAGAUGCCAUGAACAGCUCCACCGCUAAGAUUUCUCAAAGAUUAUACUCUGCCAAGCAUCACCGCCCACUAUGUCGACUUCCUACGUUCUUCUCGCAAAUCUGAAAGCAGGUCGUUGCUCAAACACCGCCGAGGUCCGUUCUUGACGUUCUACAGAAGAAGAAACUUCGUGAUGACUUGAAGAGCGUGAGAAGAUAAACUUUUCUUCCAAAGAAAAAUCUCACUGUGAUGAAAGCUACUACAGGAGAGGGAAUCAGUUAUUACUCGAAGAUAUAAAGAAAGUGACGAUGAUGAGGAUGAGAUUGGAUCUCUUAUGGCUGAACUAAACCAGAUAAAUAAAUAAAGAGGCUCAGGAAGGAAAAGCAUCAGCAAAUGAAGAGCUAAACGCCAAAGAAGAGGAACUUCCCAAAGGAAACCCACUGCUUGACAACACUCCAACUGUGUUUAGUGUCAAAAGAAGGCUAGCAUCUUUUGAAGUGGGAUGAUGAUGUGGUAUCGAGAAUCAGGCACGUGGGGAAAUGAAAUUAAGCACCUAAGCGCUUCAUCAGUAAUACAAUCAAGAAUUACUUCCACAAAAAGUUUCACUUUUGCAUUAACGAAUGACUCAAUGUGUUA